UGCGUAGGCGGACUAUUAAGUCAGAGGUGAAAUACUGCCGCUCAACGGUAGAAUUGCCUUUGAUACUGAUAGUCUUGAGUAUAGUUGAGGUAGGCGGAAUGUGUUGUGUAGCGGUGAAAUGCUUAGAUAUAACACAGAACACCGAUUGCGAAGGCAGCUUACUAAACUAUGAUUGACGCUGAGGCACGAAAGCGUGGGGAGCGAACAGGAUUAGAUACCCUGGUAGUC
rnacentral:rRNA from 1 species